CACGUGAGAAUUUACCUUUAGGAGGGAGUAACAGUUGGAACGAUUGCUAAUGCCGCAUAUCAUUUAUAUGAAGAAGAAAUUACGCCUAAAGAAAGACUUGCGUCUGAUUAGCUAGUUGGUAAGGGUAAAGGCCUACCAAGGCGACGAUCAGUAGCUGGUUUGAGAGGACGACCAGUCACACUGGAACUGAGACACGGUCCAGACUCCUACGGGAGGCAGCAGUGGGGAAUUUUCUGCAAUGGGCGAAAGCCUGACAGAGCAAUACCGCGUGAGGGAAGAAAGCCCACAGGGUUUGUAAAC
rnacentral:rRNA from 1 species